rnacentral:pre_miRNA from 1 species
UUUGUACUCCCUCCGUCCGAAAAUACUUGUCAUCAAAAUGAACAAAAAAGGAUGUAUCUAAAACUAAAAUACAUCUAGAUACAUCCUCUUUUAUUCAUUUUGAUGACAAGUAUUUUCGGACGGAGGGAGUAUAAC